rnacentral:rRNA from 1 species
UCGAGAAUCUUCCGCAAUGGACGAAAGUCUGACGGAGCGACGCCGCGUGCGGGAUGAAGGCCCUUGGGUUGUAAACCGCUGUCAGAGGGGAUGAAAUCUUCGGAGGUACUCCUCCGAAGUUGACAGAGCCUCAAAGGAAGCACGGGCUAAGUACGUGCCAGCAGCCGCGGUAACACGUACUGUGCGAACGUUAUUCGGAAUCACUGGGCUUAAAGGGUGCGUAGGCGGCGAUUCAAGUCAGGUGUGAAAUGCCUGAGCUCAACUGAGGCAUUGCGCUUGAAACUGAAUUGCUAGAGUAUCCCAGGGGUNUGCGGAACUGCCAGUGGAACGGUGAAAUGUGUUGAUAUUGGCAGGAACACCGGAGGCGAAAGCGGCACACUGGGGGAUAACUGACGCUGAGGCACGAAAGCCAAGGGAGCGAACGGGAUUAGAUACCCAAGUAGUCCCUGAGCGGGCUGGCAAGGCGCAU